ensembl:lncRNA
CAGGAUUGAUUUAUGAGUGCUUGUCAUUUUCCUUCUUGUCUGGAGUAUUAAUAUAUUUCUUCAUACUAAUUGAUGGGGUGGGUUUGUGGCUUCACAUUUUCCUUCUUGUCUGGAGUAUUAAUAUAUUUCUUCAUACUAAUUGAUGGGGUGGGUUUGUGGCUUCACAUAGAGUAUCUGAUUGCAGAUUCCACCUGCCACCAUGGGGAGGGGGAGCAUUGUCAGGAGCUGCGUAUUCUGAGCCCACCGCGAUCCCUGGCAUCUGUGCCUGUCCUUUGGAAUCUAUGCUGACAGGGCCCAUCUGCAAUUACCCACUUGCAGCUGCUGCUUUUCUAAGGUAUGCAUGGGUGCUCUGGCCAACCAGCCAAGCCUGAGUACCAGGCAGGGGGAUGGGCACUUUCUUGUGUGUGUGUAAUCCCAGGGACAUUCUCACUCUGCCCAAUUAUCUCCCUCCUGGGGUGCUGGCUUGAUGAAGACACCCUGCAAUAGCUUAGCUUCUUCUGUGUGGAGCUUUCCCACAUACUGUGAGGGAACUUGGAGAACAAAGGUGUUCCCACAGAGAGCCACCCCUCCAUCCUCCUUUCUCAGAGCCACAUAUGUUCCCAGGCCCUAGAUCACUGCCAUGGAGGGAGAGGAGAUCCCCUUACCUCCUUCCACUUCCUCUCAGGGGGUCCAGCACCUCCACCUUCAGAAGAAUGGCUGAGUGGGUCUCUCAGACAUCUUUUGUGUCAUGUGAAUGUCCUCUCUUGGUUUAUGAAUGUCCUUUUCAUUGUAUCUUAGUGGGGAGAGUCUGAGGGAAGAGCUCUCUCCACCACGAUGCUGAUGUCACUCCAGCUCUAGUUAAGAACUUUUACAACUCAAUAAUAAGAUAAACAACUCAAUUUUUAAAAACAGGAAAAAGAUCUGUACAGGUACUUAACAAAAAGAUGCUCAACUUCAUGGGUUACUAGGGAAAUUAAAAUCACAAUAAGGUACUACUAUAUAUGUAUUAGAAUAUCUUAAAUUUAAAAUACUGAAAUGCCAGGUGUUGCUGAAGAUGUGGUACAAUUGGACCUCUCAUACGUUGCUGAUGGAGACGCAAAGUGGUGCAGCCACUGGAAAACAGUUUUUCACUGCCUUAAAAAUUGAAGCAUACGUCUACUACGUGACUCAGCAAUUCCACUCCUAGGUGUUUAUUUAAAAGAAAUGAAAGUAUAUGUCCACACAAAGAUUUGUACAUGAAUGUUCAUAGCAGCAUUAUUCAUAAUAACCAAACAGUAGAAACAACUCAAAUAUCCAUCAACUUGUCAAUGUAUAAACAAAAUGUGGCAUACGCAUUCAACAGAAUACAAUUUAGCAAAUAAAAUGGAAUAAACUACUGAUAUACAGAACAAUGUAGAACAAUCUCAAAAUGAUGAAAGAAACCAGACACAAAAGACAUAUGAAAUAUGAAUAUGAAAUUCUGGAGAAAGCAAAAAUAUAGCAGCAGAAAGCAGACCAGUGCUUAUCUUAUAGCUGGGCAUGAGGGACAGCUUGACUGCAAAGGGGCAAAAGGGAAUUUUUGGGGUGACUGAAGUGUUCUAAAACCUGAUUCUAGUGGUGGUUGCACAACUCUAUACAUUUACUAAAACUCAUACAACUUGACACUUAAAAUGUGUGAACUUUGUGUUAUAUAAAUAUGCUUCAAUAAUAAUUUUAAGGGUGUAUACAUUAAACCUCAAAGUGGUUUCUUUAAAAAAAAAAGGGAUUGCUAUUCAGCAAGUAAAUUGUUGCUGUUGAGCAUCAGUUUGAAAUGCC